rnacentral:rRNA from 1 species
GAGUUUGAUCAUGGCUCAGGAUGAACGCUAGCUACAGGCUUAACACAUGCAAGUCGAGGGGCAGCAUUUCAGUUUGCUUGCAAACUGGAGAUGGCGACCGGCGCACGGGUGAGUAACACGUAUCCAACCUGCCGAUAACUCGGGGAUAGCCUUUCGAAAGAAGAUUAAUACCCGAUGGUAUAAUUAGACCGCAUGGUCUUGUUAUUAAGAUUUCGGUUAUCGAUGGGGAUGCGUUCCAUUAGGCAGUUGGUGAGGUAACGGCUCACCAAACCUUCGAUGGAUAGGGGUUCUGAGAGGAACGGUCCCCCCAAUUGGAACUGAGACACGGUCCAAACUCCUACGGGAGCAGCAGUGA